ACGCUGGCGGCAGGCCUAACACAUGCAAGUCGAGCGGUAGAGAGAAGCUUGCUUCUCUUGAGAGCGGCGGACGGGUGAGUAAUGCCUAGGAAUCUGCCUGGUAGGGGGGGAUAACGUUCGGAAACGGACGCUAAUACCGCAUACGUCCUACGGGAGAAAGCAGGGGACCUUCGGGCCUUGCGCUAUCAGAUGAGCCUAGGUCGGAUUAGCUAGUUGGUGGGGUAAUGGCUCACCAAGGCGACGAUCCGUAACUGGUCUGAGAGGAUGAUCAGUCACACUGGAACUGAGACACGGUCCAGACUCCUACGGGAGGCAGCAGUGGGGAAUAUUGGACAAUGGGCGAAAGCCUGAUCCAGCCAUGCCGCGUGUGUGAAGAAGGUCUUCGGAUUGUAAAGCACUUUAAGUUGGGAGGAAGGGCAGUUGCCUAGUACGUAGCUGUUUUGACGUUACCGACAGAAUAAGCACCGGCUAACUCUGUGCCAGCAGCCGCGGUAAUACAGAGGGUGCAAGCGUUAAUCGGAAUUACUGGGCGUAAAGCGCGCGUAGGUGGUUUGUUAAGUUGGAUGUGAAAUCCCCGGGCUCAACCUGGGAACUGCAUUCAAAACUGACUGACUAGAGUAUGGUAGAGGGUGGUGGAAUUUCCUGUGUAGCGGUGAAAUGCGUAGAUAUAGGAAGGAACACCAGUGGCGAAGGCGACCACCUGGACUGAUACUGACACUGAGGUGCGAAAGCGUGGGGAGCAAAC
rnacentral:rRNA from 1 species